rnacentral:rRNA from 1 species
GGGGGGGGGCCUAAUACAUGGCAGUCGAACGAGUUCUCGUUGAUGAUCGGUGCUUGCACCGAGAUUCAACAUGGAACGAGUGGCGGACGGGUGAGUAACACGUGGGUAACCUGCCCUUAAGUGGGGGAUAACAUUUGGAAACAGAUGCUAAUACCGCAUAGAUCCAAGAACCGCAUGGUUCUUGGCUGAAAGAUGGCGUAAGCUAUCGCUUUUGGAUGGACCCGCGGCGUAUUAGCUAGUUGGUGAGGUAAUGGCUCACCAAGGCGAUGAUACGUAGCCGAACUGAGAGGUUGAUCGGCCACAUUGGGACUGAGACACGGCCCAAACUCCUACGGGAGGCAGCAGUAGGGAAUCUUCCACAAUGGACGCAAGUCUGAUGGAGCAACGCCGCGUGAGUGAAGAAGGCUUUCGGGUCGUAAAACUCUGUUGUUGGAGAAGAAUGGUCGGCAGAGUAACUGUUGUCGGCGUGACGGUAUCCAACCAGAAAGCCACGGCUAACUACGUGCCAGCAGCCGCGGUAAUACGUAGGUGGCAAGCGUUAUCCGGAUUUAUUGGGCGUAAAGCGAGCGCAGGCGGUUUUUUAAGUCUGAUGUGAAAGCCCUCGGCUUAACCGAGGAAGCGCAUCGGAAACUGGGAAACUUGAGUGCAGAAGAGGACAGUGGAACUCCAUGUGUAGCGGUGAAAUGCGUAGAUAUAUGGAAGAACACCAGUGGCGAAGGCGGCUGUCUGGUCUGUAACUGACGCUGAGGCUCGAAAGCAUGGGUAGCGAACAGGAUUAGAUACCCUGGUAGUCCAUGCCGUAAACGAUGAAUGCUAGGUGUUGGAGGGUUUCCGCCCUUCAGUGCCGCAGCUAACGCAUUAAGCAUUCCGCCUGGGGAGUACGACCGCAAGGUUGAAACUCAAAGGAAUUGACGGGGGCCCGCACAAGCGGUGGAGCAUGUGGUUUAAUUCGAAGCAACGCGAAGAACCUUACCAGGUCUUGACAUCUUUUGAUCACCUGAGAGAUCAGGUUUCCCCUUCGGGGGCAAAAUGACAGGUGGUGCAUGGUUGUCGUCAGCUCGUGUCGUGAGAUGUUGGGUUAAGUCCCGCAACGAGCGCAACCCUUAUGACUAGUUGCCAGCAUUUAGUUGGGCACUCUAGUAAGACUGCCGGUGACAAACCGGAGGAAGGUGGGGAUGACGUCAAAUCAUCAUGCCCCUUAUGACCUGGGCUACACACGUGCUACAAUGGAUGGUACAACGAGUUGCGAGACCGCGAGGUCAAGCUAAUCUCUUAAAGCCAUUCUCAGUUCGGACUGUAGGCUGCAACUCGCCUACACGAAGUCGGAAUCGCUAGUAAUCGCGGAUCAGCACGCCGCGGUGAAUACGUUCCCGGGCCUUGUACACACCGCCCGUCACACCAUGAGAGUUUGUAACACCCGAAGCCGGUGGCGUAACCCUUUUAGGGAGCGAGCCGUCUAAGGUGACAAAAU